CUUAAAAGCAGGCCUGGUGGUACGUGUUUAUAAUCCCAGCACUCCGGAGCCUGAGAUGCUGACAAGGGAAAAGGGUGCAACCAUGCACCAAGAGAACAGAAGAUAAGAAAGCUCUCAGGGGAGAGAUGAGAAGCAGAGGAGCCGGCAAGCUGGAGAAUGUGAGCUCCAGAACACUUCCGCACUGUUCAAGGCUAUGCAGGACAAAAGAAAGAGAAACAGCCUGAAAGUCAUGCUGUGUGAGCUGUCGCCACAACUCAGGGGUCACACACACUUUCCC